rnacentral:misc_RNA from 1 species
AUAACAAAAGACUCUGGACAUGAUAAGUUAGCUAGAUAAUAAUACCAACCGCAUACUUCAAGAUCAGUAUGAGACGGCCUCGGUCUCGACAGAUUCGGCCUCAUCGGUGACGGCCGCGACAGGGGUUGCUUGCAGCGCCAUCUCCACAGUGAGAUCACUAUCCGGCGCCGGAGACGCCGGAGCGACAGGAACCCUAGACUUCGCAGACUCCAUCAUGCGCCUGCUGAUCUCCUUGGAGUAGAUCUGCAGGAUCUCGAUCCCGAACGCAACGGCGUCGUCACGAGGGGCGGCAAUGGCGCCUCCAUCGGCGGCAGCGGAAGAUGCGGAGAAGGCCUCCUCCUCGAUGCGGCGGGCAGCGGCCGAGGCUUCGUCGUGGGGGAGGGUGCCGUAGCGCUUGGAGAGUACGGAGGGGGAGGAGAGAGUUUCGACGAGGCGGUUGACGACGGCAUCGCGGGUGCGCUGGGAGGGGGGCCAGAUGUUGAGGGAGACAGCGUAGCCAUCGAGCUGCGGCAGCGGUGGAGGAUCGGCGGCGGUGACGGCGAUGGCGGUGGAGGGAGGCGGUGGGGGGUUUUCCUCGCCAGUGGCGAGGGCUGGG